rnacentral:rRNA from 1 species
AGCUCCAAUAGCGUAUAUUAAAGUUGUUGCAGUUAAAAAGCUCGUAGUUGGAUUUCUGGUGGGAGGGAUCGGUCCAGCACUCAGUGUUGGAACUUGUAUCCUCUCCGGCCAUCCUUGGGUGGAUCUUGUCUGGCAUUAAGUUGUCAGUCAGGGGAUGCCCAUCGUUUACUGUGAAAAAAUUAGAGUGUUCAAAGCAGGCUUAUGCCAUUGAAUAUAUUAGCAUGGAAUAAUAAGAUAGGGCCCUGGUGCUAUUUUGUUGGUUUGCGUACCGAGGUAAUGAUUAAUAGGGACAGUUGGGGGUAUUUGUAUUCAGUAUUCAGUGGUGAAAUACUUAGACCUACGGAAGACAAACUACUGCGAAAGCAUUUACCAAGGAUGUUUUCA